GAGUUUGAUCCUGGCUCAGGAUGAACGCUAGCUACAGGCUUAACACAUGCAAGUCGCGGGGCAGCAUGUUACUGGCUUGCCAGUAAUGAUGGCGACCGGCGCACGGGUGAGUAUCGCGUAUCCAACCUUCCCAUAUCCACGGGAUAGCCUGCUGAAAGGCAGAUUAAUACCGUAUGUUGUCGCACGCUGGCAUCAAAAUGCGACGAAAGGCUUAGCGGAUAUGGAUGGGGAUGCGUCCGAUUAGCUUGACGGCGGGGUAACGGCCCACCGUGGCGACGAUCGGUAGGGGUUCUGAGAGGAAGGUCCCCCACAUUGGAACUGAGACACGGUCCAAACUCCUACGGGAGGCAGCAGUGAGGAAUAUUGGUCUAUGGGCGCAAGCCUGAACCAGCCAAGUAGCGUGCAGGACGACGGCCCUAUGGGUUGUAAACUGCUUCUAUGCGGGGAUAAAGUAUGGGACGUGUCCCAUUUUGCAGGUACCGCAUGAAUAAGGACCGGCUAAUUCCGUGCCAGCAGCCGCGGUAAUACGGAAGGUCCGGGCGUUAUCCGGAUUCAUUGGGUUUAAAGGGAGCGUACGCCGCCCCUUAAGCGUGUUGUGAAAUGCCGCGGCUCAUCCGUGGCACUGCACCGCGAACUGGGGGGCUGAGUGUGCGCGACGCAGGCGCAAUCGUGGUGUAGCGGUGAAAUGCUUAGAUAUCACGAGGAACCCCGAUUGCGAAGGCAGCUUGCGGGAGCACUACUGACGCAGAAGCUCGAAGGCGCGGGUAUCGAACAGGAUUAGAUACCCUGGUAGUCCGCGCGGUAAACGAUGGAUGCCCGCUGUGUGCCAUUAUGGUAUGCGGCCAAGCGAAAGCGUUAAGCAUCCCACCUGGGGAGUACGCCGGCAACGGUGAAACUCAAAGGAAUUGACGGGGGCCCGCACAAGCGGAGGAACAUGUGGUUUAAUUCGAUGAUACGCGAGGAACCUUACCCGGGCUUGAACUGCCAGCGGACGAUACAGAGAUGUUGAGGCCCUUCGGGGCGCUGGCGGAGGUGCUGCAUGGUUGUCGUCAGCUCGCGCCGUGAGGUGUCGGCUUAAGUGCCAUAACGAGCGCAACCCCUCUCCGUAGUUGCCAUCAGGUGAUGCUGGGCACUCUGCGGACACUGCCACCGCAAGGUGUGAGGAAGGUGGGGACGACGUCAAAUCAGCACGGCCCUUACGUCCGGGGCUACACACGUGUUACAAUGGGGGGUACAGAGCGCCGGCUUGCCGCAAGGAGAGUCCAAUCGCGAAAACCUCCCUCAGUUCGGACUGGGGUCUGCAAACCGACCCCAGGAAGCUGGAUUCGCUAGUAAUCGCGCAUCAGCCAUGGCGCGGUGAAUACGUUCCCGGGCC
rnacentral:rRNA from 1 species